GGCAUUUGGUCUGAGCAAAUGACGGAUGGAGUUGACCUGACCGGAGAUCCUGAGAUGGUGAAUGGGAUGGCUGGAUGGGGCCGACGGGAAGGCCGGGUUUGGAAUGCUGAGUCUGAGAUGCCCAGGAGACACCCAGGAGUGACCCACAACUUGCUGAAUGCCUGAAUCUCAAGUCUUGGGAAAACAAUGCUUCCUCUCAAGAUCAGCUGAAUGAAAGGAGCAACUUCUAAUCUGAUCAUCAACCGAGGCAGAGGAGGUUUAUAAUGGGUAAUCAAGGUAUGAAGACGUCAUGGGAUAAUUUACAUGAUUUUUUCAUGCUCAGUCUUCACAAGCUGUGUGCACCCUCUGCUUACUCACAGCCCAUCUCGAUUCGGACCAGCCUCGGGCGCUGGGCAGCGAGGGCUCGGUUUUCUGUCUCAUGUUCUUCCCUGUGCUGGAAGGAGCCAGGGUUGCCUGUGGGCGUGCAGGGACUCGGUGCUGGCGCCUGCCUGGCGGUGGAAGGGGCUCACGGGGACCCUUGGACGCAAUCUGCUGCGUGCGGGGUUCGCCCGCCCCCGUAUGCAUUACUGGGUGGUAGGUAGCCUGUGCCAGGGUGCCGGCUGUUUUCCAGUGGCGGUAAAUAUUAACGAAGCGGUGGGAGGCAGGCCCUCUGGGAGGCCUGGGCUCUCCCCAAGGGAGGAAUGGAGAGAAUGCUGUGUACCUUAGAUAGGGCUUUCGGUCUGGCCUCUGACGCUGCUGGGCCCCGAGCUGCCGGGGAUACGCAGGCUGGCCUUCUCUUCCCAGGACCAGGAUGCUUUGCUGGGAGAGUCCCAGAACCCGCAGACCUCAGAAGUGCCACUUGCCUCUACGUGUGCAUCAGCCUCACCCCACUCCCCAGUCUCUCUCCCAAGCCACCUCUUCACUUGAAGACCUCUUCUCUCCAAAUCCACUUGCCAACAAGCCCAGCUAAGCCCGACUUAAGGGCAGAGGGAACGCAUGGAGUUCAGAUAUUUUCUUUAAAAAAAACAACAACAAACCAAUCAGCACUCCCUUAUUGAGCACUUGCUGUAUGCUGGGCCAUUAGAGAAGCUGCAUCCUUCCGCAAGGCCCACAGGACCUCAGGCUGUCAUCCCCCACCCAGGAGAGGGGCCUGAAAGUCAAACAGGUCAACGUCACAACUGGGCUACAAACCUGGGCUUUUGAUUGGACUAGUUCUAGCUGCCAGAACGUUCUCUCUGGGGAGAAGACGGCAGGAGUAUUUACUUGCAUUUGCAUAAACAAACACUGGAAGACCACAUAGGAGCGAAUGUGGUUACAUACGGGAGGGAGUGAGGAGGAAUGGAGGCGCUGGGGGUGAGAAUGCUCAAGGUAUAGCCCUGUGUAUUACCUUGAUGUUAGAACCGUUUAGAUAUAUUAUCUAAUUGUAAAAAUAAAUGGGAUGGAAUUUUAACUUCGUUUUUUUUCCCUCCUGGUAGAUAGAGGAAGAUACGUUUCUCAGAGUAGAUGAGCUUGAUGGGCAAGCUGAACAUUUUUUUUAAAGAAGAUUUUAUUUAUUUAUUUGUCAGAGAGAGAGAGAGAGAGCACAAGCAGGGGGAGCGGCAGGCAGAGGGAGAAGCAGGCUCCCCACUGAGACCGAUGGGGGGACUCGAUCCCAGGACCCUGGGAUUAUGACCUGAGCCGAAGGCAGUCGCUUAACUGACUCAGCCACCCAGGCAUCCCUGAGCUGAACAUUUUUUGGUAUCUAGAAUGUGUGUGGGCCUUA